rnacentral:rRNA from 1 species
GAUGAACGCUGGCGGCGUGCCUAAUACAUGCAAGUCGAGCGAACGGACGAGAAGCUUGCUUCUCUGAUGUUAGCGGCGGACGGGUGAGUAACACGUGGAUAACCUACCUAUAAGACUGGGAUAACUUCGGGAAACCGGAGCUAAUACCGGAUAAUAUUUUGAACCGCAUGGUUCAAAGGUGAAAGACGGUCUUGCUGUCACUUAUAGAUGGAUCCGCGCUGCAUUAGCUAGUUGGUAAGGUAACGGCUUACCAAGGCAACGAUGCAUAGCCGACCUGAGAGGGUGAUCGGCCACACUGGAACUGAGACACGGUCCAGACUCCUACGGGAGGCAGCAGUAGGGAAUCUUCCGCAAUGGGCGAAAGCCUGACGGAGCAACGCCGCGUGAGUGAUGAAGGUCUUCGGAUCGUAAAACUCUGUUAUUAGGGAAGAACAUAUGUGUAAGUAACUGUGCACAUCUUGACGGUACCUAAUCAGAAAGCCACGGCUAGCUACGUG